AGAAUUCUGAACAAGAACAUCAACUGCAGCAAGAUAUGGGGCUACCGUCAGUGUCUUAUUAACAAAAUGAACAUAAUUCUGGAUCUUCUUUGAUAUGACAAAGUUCCUAAGCUCUGUCUCAAAUUUACUAUGACUAGUCAUGUCACUCCCUACAACAACAGCAUGAAUUGAUGGUAAUUGUAACUUCCGUUCUUGAAUAAUCUGCAAGCUCUCAUAAAACGACCGUAAAAAUAAGUCUUGACCCUUCCCACGAGUAACACUAUUUAUGAGGGAGAACAGUAUAUCUUCGUUUCGAACUCCAAGAGAUUCACGAACAUGUUCCCUCAAAAUCCUUUUUGCCACACUAUCUUCAGCAAUUUCCAUUAGCUCAUUGCUGUUGCCAAGAUGAACGACAUGGGUUUUGGGCAUUUUGAUCCUUAGCCGUUCCUGUGUCCUAUUCUUCCAGUAUUCAGCUGUUACAUGUGAAUCAAUCAUUGCACCAGCAACAUAUGGAAGGUGUUUCACAUAAUCUAGACUGAAGUAAUGACCGCGCAUUUCAUGGAUCCACCACAAAACUUUGGGAAGGACUUCAGAAACGUGUUCCUUAAGAACAGCAUCCAACCAUUUCCCAGCAACGGCAGUGUUUAAAACAACCAAGUCAGCUUUCAAAGCAGUAUCUAUUGCCUCCUGGCCCUUCGCAGAGACAACCUGAACUCCUCGGUGUAACAUUUUGUGCUCCAAACUGUAUACAAUGUUAUUUGUUUCAGAUGGCCUUUGAUUUGUGAUCCAACAGACUUCAGCACCAACACCUCUCAACAAAAAUGCCAG
rnacentral:misc_RNA from 1 species